UUUUUUUGCCAUCGAUUCUUUGGCAGUUUUGUUAUUGGGAAACAUUUAUGGCAUAUAUCUGUGCAUAAUUUCAUUCAUCAAUUUGGUUUUUAGUUGACGUUGCGACAUUAUAUCUGUCUUGCAAAUGACGUUGUGUAAUCAAAUUCUUUUGACGUUGCACUGUCACUACAUGUUGAUCUGGUCUUUAAUUGUCUUCAACAAAUCCCGUCUACCGGUAUCAUUGUUGGAAUGACAGUAAGAGGAGUUUCUGACGUCACGUUGACUUGUUGCCGCACGUUCACGUUUUCCGGUUUGCAGUAUUCUGAUGAAUUGAUUACGUUUUUUAUUCCUCAGUCUUUGAAAUAUUUUUUAAAAUGAUUUAAGUGUCGCCAAGGAUUGAACGAACUGUUUCACAAAGAAAACAAAUGAAAAAUUAUUUCAUUGGCUCGAAAUUUCGCUUUUAGAAAUUCGUGCGAUUUCAAUAAUUCGGUAUGUUCAAUAACCACAGGUAAGUCAGAUUGUUUGGUAAGAGAAAGAAGUAUGAUGAGCAUGACUAAUAGUUGUAUGAGGAUCAAACAUGAUUUGAUAAAACAAAUCUACAAAAUGAGUUUUGCGUUUUUAAAGUCAGUCAGUAUUGAUAAUUUGAAUCAGAAUAAUGAUAAAUAACAUAUUUGUAUGACUAGAAGAAAAUAUGCAGUGAUCACAUA
rnacentral:lncRNA from 1 species